GGAUUGUGGCUCAGCGGUGGAGCGCUCGCCUAGCAAGGGCGGGACCGGGGUUCGAUCCUCAGCACCA
rnacentral:tRNA from 1 species